GAUGAACGCUGGCGGCGUGCCUAAUACAUGCAAGUCGAGCGAACAGACGAGGAGCUUGCUCCUCUGACGUUAGCGGCGGACGGGUGAGUAACACGUGGAUAACCUACCUAUAAGACUGGGAUAACUUCGGGAAACCGGAGCUAAUACCGGAUAAUAUAUUGAACCGCAUGGUUCAAUAGUGAAAGACGGUUUUGCUCUCACUUAUAGAUGGAUCCGCGCCGCAUUAGCUAGUUGGUAAGGUAACGGCUUACCAAGGCAACGAUGCGUAGCCGACCUGAGAGGGUGAUCGGCCACACUGGAACUGAGACACGGUCCAGACUCCUACGGGAGGCAGCAGUAGGGAAUCUUCCGCAAUGGGCGAAAGCUUGACGGAGCAACGCCGCGUGAGUGAUGAAGGUCUUCGGAUCGUAAAACUCUGUUAUUAGGGAAGAACAAAUGUGUAAGUAACUAUGCACGUCUUGACGGUACCUAAUCAGAAAGCCACGGCUAACUACGUG
rnacentral:rRNA from 1 species